AAGUUAUAUUGGAUGAGAUGAGAUUUUGAAAAUCUUUUAUAAGUGUUCGAUUCACUUGUAACUUU
rnacentral:tRNA from 1 species